rnacentral:rRNA from 1 species
GAUGAACGCUGGCGGCGUGCCUAAUACAUGCAAGUCGAGCGAACAGAUAAGGAGCUUGCUCCUUUGACGUUAGCGGCGGACGGGUGAGUAACACGUGGAUAACCUACCUAUAAGACUGGGAUAACUUCGGGAAACCGGAGCUAAUACCGGAUAACAUAUUGAACCGCAUGGUUCAAUAGUGAAAGGCGGCUUUGCUGUCACUUAUAGAUGGAUCCGCGCCGUAUUAGCUAGUUGGUAAGGUAACGGCUUACCAAGGCAACGAUACGUAGCCGACCUGAGAGGGUGAUCGGCCACACUGGAACUGAGACACGGUCCAGACUCCUACGGGAGGCAGCAGUAGGGAAUCUUCCGCAAUGGGCGAAAGCCUGACGGAGCAACGCCACGUGAGUGAUGAAGGUCUUCGGAUCGUAAAACUCUGCUAUCAGGGAAGAACAAAUGUGUAAGUAACUGUGCACAUCUUGACGGUACCUGAUCAGAAAGCCACGGCUAACUACGUG